ensembl:snoRNA
AGGCAAGGAUUCUACACUUAACUUGAACUAAUUAAAAAUGGCAAUGUAGACCGUGUGCAUUCCUACAGUGCUUGCCAGAAUAGUUUUGAAGUGCUUUGAGGCCUUGCCCUGCUCUUUCUAGAGCAAGGUUAUAGAAAUUUCAGACAAUU